UAAAUCCCUCCCUCUUCACCCAGGCGUCUGUGAUGCGAGAGAUUCUCUAUUAAUAACCCAGAUUCUCACCCGGUUCGAUCGCCGGCGGAGGAGGAGGAGAGAGAUGGAGGAGUCGGCGUACCUGCAUCAGUUUGUGGAGGAGACCGACUGGUACAACGGGAUCGUGCUGGGAUCUUUGAUGCCGGGCGGGAUGUGGCGGUCGCUGCCCCGCCCGGUGCAGUCGUGGCUGCGCAACUACAUCGGCGGCACCAUCCUCUACCUCCUCUCAGGGUUUCUCUGGUGCUUCUACAUCUACUACUGGAAGCGCAACGUCUACGUCCCCAAAGAUGCUAUUCCUUCAAAGAAUGCCAUGAUGUUGCAAAUAGGUGUUGCAAUGAAGGCUAUGCCUUGGUACUGCGCUCUUCCAUCGCUAUCAGAAUACAUGAUUGAAAAUGGAUGGACAAGAUGUUACUCGAGUAUCAGUGAAGUUGGUGUGCCCCUGUAUCUUGCUUACCUGGCAAUAUAUAUGAUCAUUGUUGAGUUUGGAAUUUACUGGAUGCACAGGGAGUUGCAUGACAUAAAACCUUUAUAUAAACUUCUUCAUGCAACACAUCACAUCUACAAUAAGCAAAAUACGCUCUCACCGUUUGCUGGGCUAGCGUUCCAUCCGUUAGACGGUAUUCUGCAGGCGAUUCCACAUGUGAUAUGCCUCUUCCUGGUUCCGACCCAUUUCCUGUCUCACAUACUUCUCCUCUUCAUCGAGGCAAUUUGGACGGCAAACAUUCACGACUGCAUCCAUGGCAAGGUGUGGCCUAUCAUGGGCGCUGGCUACCACACCAUCCACCACACCACCUAUCGUCACAACUACGGCCACUACACAAUAUGGAUGGACUGGGCCUUUGGAACACUCCGUGACCCCGAAGCUGAAGAAGGCAAGGUAGCGUAAGAGUUAAAAUGGAUCAAGCCACCGUUGCUAUGUCUCUUGCAUCUUUAGCUUUAUGAAUAAUUCCAGAAACUUGUGUGUAACUGUGCACUGGCACCGGAGAAGUAACUUUUAAGUGGGUGUAGGCGAUCUUCUGGAUUUGUUAGUUGUGAUGUGUUUG
rnacentral:misc_RNA from 1 species